UAAAAUGUGAUGAACAGGACAAGUAACCUGCCGGUAACCUUGCAGGGAGGCCGUAUCAUGGACUGAAAGUAUGGCCAGGGGAAAGCAGUUGAAUUCACCUGGGAACAGUAAACUGAAACAUAGAUAUCUUUUUACCGUCUAUUCAGUAGGUUUAACCGCAGGUCGGCGUUAAAGACAUCAAGUGAACCGGUUGCGUUUGACAUCGGUUAAUCGGGGUGGUACCGCGGAAGCAAGCUUUCGUCCCUUGG
rnacentral:ncRNA from 1 species